AUCUGUGGGUAUAGACAGUGUGAGAUCAUCCUCAAGUUACCUGCUGUGCUCUCCAAAGGACACAGACUGAGACCCAUGUGCGUCACCGUUCUUUAAAAUGAACAGGCAGAAAUGGCCAUGUUCCUUUGGACCUCUAGAGUCCAGACUGUCAUCUUCUUGCAAGCCUCUUCACCUCCACAGGACCAGGUUUGCUUGUCAAGACACAAGACCAAUCCUACCUUCACGGAACAGUGAUGAAGCUGCCUUGUAAACCCCAAGGAUCUCUCACCAAAGCUGAAGCAUAUUACGUCAUCUAUAAUGGUUUUCCAAUAAGCUUCAGGGAUCCUCCCGUUUCUACACCCCUCCCCCCAUAACAAAGAAAUCUUCUCACAUCAGUGAUGGCGAUCCAAACUCAUGACCUCAUACUUGCACAGUGGAUACUUCAUCAACUGGGCCAUCCCCCAAGUCCUUGCAUUCUCACAUAUCAAAACAUGCAACAUCUUUAAGUUGCUCAGAGAGUAAUGCCUCUUACCUGACGGCCUGAAGUCAAAAGAAGAUGUGUCUUGCCAGUGAAAAGGAUGGACCCAUGGGAGGCAGCAGAGGAGGCAGAAAAGCGCCUGCAGUUUGAGUGGUACCAUCUUAGGAGCUGAGCAGUGGCUUCAGUUUGAUGUUCUUCAGAGCAGAUAAUUAAAAGAAAAGAAAU
rnacentral:lncRNA from 1 species